GAUGAACGCUGGCGGCGUGCCUAAUACAUGCAAGUCGAGCGAACGGACGAUAAGCUUGCUUCUCUGAUGUUAGCGGCGGACGGGUGAGUAACACGUGGAUAACCUACCUAUAAGACUGGUAUAACUUCGGGAAACCGUAUCUAAUACCGGAUAAUAUUUUGAACCGCAUGGUUCAAAAGUGAAAGACGGUCUUGCUGUCACUUAUAGAUGGAUCCGCGCUGCAUUAGCUAGUUGGUAAGGUAACGGCUUACCAAGGCAACGAUGCGUAGCCGACCUGAGAGGGUGAUCGGCCACACUGGAACGGGAACACGGUCCAGACUCCUACGGGAGGCAGCAGUAGGGAAUCUUCCGCAAUGGGCGAAAGCCUGACGGAGCAACGCCGCGUGAGUGAUGAAGGUCUUCGGAUCGUAAAACUCUGUUAUUAGGGAAGAACAUAUGUGUAAGUAACUGUGCACAUCUUGACGGUACCUAAUCAGAAAGCCACGGCUAACUACGUG
rnacentral:rRNA from 1 species